rnacentral:rRNA from 1 species
CCUACGGGUGGCUGCAGUGGGGAAUCUUGCGCAAUGGACGAAAGUCUGACGCAGCGACGCCGCGUGGGUGAUGAAGGCCUUCGGGUUGUAAAGCCCUGUGGGGAGAGACGAAUAAGCCGUGGCUAACAUCCACGGUGAUGACGGUAUCUCCUUAGCAAGCACCGGCUAACUCUGUGCCAGCAGCCGCGGUAAGACAGAGGGGGCAAACGUGGUUCGGAAUUACUGGGCGGCGAGCGUGCGUGGCGGACGAGAAAGCCCUCGGCUCAACCCAGGAAGUGCAUUCGAAACCGCAUGGCUGGAGUCCCGGAGAGGAAGGUGGAAUUCUCGGUGUAGAGGUGAAAUUCGUAGAUAUCGAGAGGAACAUCGGCGGCGAAAGCGGCCUUCUGGACGAGGACUGACGCUGAGAUGCGAAAGCGUGGGGAGCAAACAGGAUUAGAUACCCCUGUAGUC